GGAGUUCUAGCUCACCUUUCUGGUGUUGUUCUUGUACUCAUCUGUUUAAUCUAGUUCUGCCACUUCUUCUUGAACUUCUUGUUAGAUUUCAAGUCUGUAUUUUGUGUCCAUGACAGUUUGUCGAGACUACAUUUUCACUGGUAUCAGAGCUAGUUCCUUCUUGUUAGAGAGUGGAUUACCCCUCUUCUUGAAGGUGUGCUAGUGUUUUAGAGGUUGCGGAUUACCCUCCUCUAAACUGAU
rnacentral:lncRNA from 1 species